GAGCGGCAGCACGGGGAGCUUGCUCCCUGGUGGCGAGCGGCGGACGGGUGAGUAAUGCAUAGGAAUCUGCCCGGUAGUGGGGGAUAACGUGGGGAAACCCACGCUAAUACCGCAUACGUCCUACGGGAGAAAGCGGAGGCUCUUCGGACUUCGCGCUAUCGGAUGAGCCUAUGUCGGAUUAGCUGGUUGGUAAGGUAACGGCUUACCAAGGCGACGAUCCGUAGCUGGUCUGAGAGGAUGAUCAGCCACACUGGGACUGAGACACGGCCCAGACUCCUACGGGAGGCAGCAGUGGGGAAUAUUGGAAAAUGGGCGAAAGCCUGAUCCAGCCAUGCCGCGUGUGUGGAGAAGGCUUUCGGGUUGUAAAGGACUUUUAGCGAGGAAGAAAGGCUUUGGGUUAUACCCCAGAAGGAGGCAUCACCGCAGAAGAACCCCGGCUAAUCCGUGCCAGCGCCGGGUAUUCCGAGGGGGCGAGCGUUAUCGGGAUUACUGGGCGUAAGCGCGCGUAGGUGGCUUGGCACGCCGGUUGUGAAAGCCCCGGGCUCAACCUGGGAACGGCAUCCGGAACGGUCAGGCUAGAGUGCAGGAGAGGAAGGUAGAAUUCCCGGUGUAGCGGUGAAAUGCGUAGAGAUCGGGAGGAAUACCAGUGGCGAAGGGCGGCCUUUCUGGCUUGACACUGACACUGAGGUGCGAAAGCGUGGGUAGCAAACAGGAUUAGAUACCCUGGUAUUCCACGCCGUAAACGAUGUCGACUAGCCGUUGGGACCCUUUAAGGAUUUAGUGGCGCAGUAAACGCAUAAGUCGCCCGCCUGGGGAGUACGGCCGCAAGGUUAAAACUCAAAAUGAAUUGACGGGGGCCCGCCCCAAGCGGUGGAGCAUGUGUUUUAUUUGGAUGCAACGCGAAGAACCUUACCUCCCCUUGACAUCCUUGCGAACCCGGAAGAGAUUCCGGGGUGCCUUCGGGAACGCAGUGACAGGUGCUGCAUGGCUGUCGUCAGCUCGUGUUGUGAAAUGUUGGGUUAAGUCCCGUAACGAGCGCAACCCUUGUCCUUAUUUGCCAGCGAUUCGGUCGGGAACUCUAAGGAGACUGCCGGUGACAAACCGGAGGAAGGUGGGGACGACGUCAAGUCAUCAUGGCCCUUACGGGUAGGGCUACACACGUGCUACAAUGGCCGGUACAAAGGGUUGCGAGACCGCGAGGUGGAGCGAAUCCCAGAAAGCCGGCCUCAGUCCGGAUCGGAGUCUGCAACUCGACUCCGUGAAGUCGGAAUCGCUAGUAAUCGUGAAUCAGAAUGUCACGGUGAAUACGUUCCCGGGCCUUGUACACACCGCCCGUCACACCAUGGGAGUGGACUGCACCAGAAGUGGUUAGCUUAACCUUCGGGAGACCG
rnacentral:rRNA from 1 species